GAUGAACGCUAGCGGCAGGCUUAAUACAUGCAAGUCGAGGGGCAGCAUGAUUGUAGCAAUACAAUUGAUGGCGACCGGCAAACGGGUGCGGAACACGUACACAACCUCCCAAUAAGUGGGGAAUAGCCCAGAGAAAUUUGGAUUAAUACCCCGUAACAUAACGAUGUGGCAUCACAUUGUUAUUAUAGAUUUUUCGCUUAUUGAUGGGUGUGCGGCUGAUUAGAUAGUUGGCGGGGUAACGGCCCACCAAGUCUACGAUCAGUAGCUGAUGUGAGAGCAUGAUCAGCCACACGGGCACUGAGACACGGGCCCGACUCCUACGGGAGGCAGCAGUAAGGAAUAUUGGACAAUGGACGCAAGUCUGAUCCAGCCAUGCCGCGUGAAGGAUUAAGGUCCUCUGGAUUGUAAACUUCUUUUAUAAGGGACGAAAAAAGGCUUUUCUAAGUCGUCUGACGGUACCUUAUGAAUAAGCACCGGCUAACUCCGUGCCAGCAGCCGCGGUAACAC
rnacentral:rRNA from 1 species